AAUAUUGCUCAAUGGAGGGAACUCUGACGCAGCGACGCCGCGUCAGCGAUGAAGGUCUUCGGAUCGUAAAGCUCCGGCCUUGGGGAAGAAGGUCUUCGGACUUGACGGUACCUAAGGAGGCUGCCCCGGCUACCUACGUGCCAGCAGCCGCGGUAAUACGUAGGGGGCAAGCGUUUUCCUGAAUUAUUGGGCGUAAAGGGUGCGUAGGCGGCCCUGUAAGUCAGUUGUGAAAGCCCACGGCUUAACCGUGGGACUGCAUUUGAAACUGGAGGGCUUGAGUGUCGGAGAGGGCAGUGGAAUUCCCAGUGUAGCGGUGGAAUGCGUAGAUAUUGGGAGGAACGCCAGUGGCGAAGGCGACUGCCUGGACGAUAACUGACGCUGAGGCACGAAAGCUAGGGGAGCAAACA
rnacentral:rRNA from 1 species